CCCGUCGUAAAGCACUAUGGACAUGCGCCAGUCUGUAAAACUGGUGACUUCGGUCUGGCUUGGUUCGAUUCCAAGAGGCGGGA
rnacentral:tRNA from 1 species